rnacentral:misc_RNA from 1 species
AAUUAAUCGAGCGCUAGGAAUGGAGCCAGCAACCAAACUCACAAAAGUUCUCCUCAAAAACACCCACGAUCCCAAACUAGCAUGGCACCUUUUCAAGCGCAUUCUAUCGCUGCCCAUCUCACCCGUCCACCUUCGCCAAUCAAUACCCAUCAUUGCCCGUAUCCUCAUUCGCGCAAAAAUGCUCAAAGAACUCGAUCAUCUUCACCAACUCCUGCUUAACUCGCCGCUACUCGAAACCCUGGAUCCUUCUCUCGAAUCCCUUGUUAGCAUUUUAGCUAAAUCGGGUCUCUUCGAUAAGGCCAUUUCACAUUUUAAGUCAUUGCGGUUCCAAUUCCCAGAAAAGCUGCCUUCUAUAUAUUUGUAUAAUGUUCUCUUCAGAUCGUGCAUCAGAGAGAGUCGUGUAGAUAUUGUGUCUUGGUUGUAUAAAGAUAUGGCUGUUGCAGGUGUAUCUCCAGAGACUUACACUUUCAAUAUUUUGAUUCGGUGGCUAUGUGAUUAUGGUCUUUUGGACGAUGCACGGAACUUGUUCGAUAAAAUGCCUGAGAAAGGUUGUAAGCCAAAUGAGUUCAGUUUUGGCAUUAUGGUUCGUGGAUAUUGUAGGGCGGGGCUUACUAGCAAAGGAUUGGAGUUCUUAAGGGAAAUGAGGAGUUCGGGUUUUUUGCCAAAUUCUAUUGUCUAUAAUUCCUUGAUUUCAAGUUUUUGUAGAGAAGGUAAAAUUCAUGAUGCUGAAGAAUUGGUGGACAGGAUGAGAGAGGAUGGUUUAUUUCCGAACGUAGUAACUUUCAAUUCUAGGAUAUCGGCUCUUUGUAGUGCAGGGAAGAUUCUAGAAGCUUCAAGAAUUUUUAGAGAUAUGCAAAUUGAUGAAGAUUUAGGGUUGCCUCGGCCUAAUGUCAUAACUUAUAAUUUAAUGCUCAUGGGAUUCUGCAAAGAGGGAAUGUUGGAGGAAGCCAAGACUUUGGUUGAGAGUAUGAAAAGAAAUAGCAACUUAAUGAAUAUAGAGAGUUAUAAUAUUUGGUUGUUAGGUUUGGUGAGGAAUGGGAAGCUCUUGGAGGCUCAGUUAGUUCUAAAAGAGAUGCUAGCUAUUGGAAUAGAGCCUACUAUAUACUCUUAUAAUAUUGUUAUGGAUGGAUUAUGCAAGAAUGGAAUGCUUUCUGAUGCAAGUAUGCUGAUGCAUUUAAUGAUACAUAGUGGUAUUUCACCAGAUAGGGUAACUUAUAGCACUUUACUUCAUGGUUACUGUUGUAAGGGGAAAGUGUUUGAAGCUAAAAAUCUUUUGCAUGAUAUGAUUAGAAAUAAUUAUUUUCCAAAUACUUACACUUGUAACAUUUUGCUGCACAGUUUGUGGAAGGAGGGCAGAAUAUCAGAGGCAGAGGAGUUGCUACAAAAGAUGAAUGAGAAGGGUUAUGGUGUGGACACGGUUACCUGCAAUAUUGUAAUUGAUGGUCUAUGCAACAAUGGACAAUUGGACAAGGCAAUUGAAAUUGUAAGUGGGAUGUGGACUCAUGGUAGUGCGGCUCUUGGUAAUUUGGGGAACUCAUUUAUGGGCCUAGUUGAUAACAGUAAUAGUGGGAAGAAAUGUGUACCUGAUUUGAUUACAUAUUCAACCAUAAUUAGUGGUUUAUGCAAGGCUGGGAGGCUUGAUGAUGCUAAAAGGAAGUUCGUUGAGAUGAUGGGGAAAAACUUGCAGCCUGAUUCAGCAAUUUAUGAUACUUUUAUUCAUAGCUUCUGCAGAGAGGGAAAGAUAUCAUCUGCAUUUCGAGUACUCAAGGACAUGGAGAGAAAAGGUUGCAGCAAGACCCUGCAAACUUAUAAUUCAUUGAUCCUGGGGUUAGGAAGUAAAAACCAAAUUUUUGAAAUAUAUGGACUCAUUGAUGAAAUGAGAGAAAAAGGACUUUCUCCUAAUGUCUAUACAUUUAACAACGUUCUUACCUGUCUCUGUGAAGGAGGGAGAAUUAAAGACACCCCUUCUGUUUUGGAUGAGAUGCUGCAAAAGGGCAUUGCCCCAAAUAUUUCUUCCUUCAGAAUAUUAAUUAGAGCUUUUUGCAAGGCUUGUGAUUUUAGGGCAGCACAGGAGAUAUUUGAGAUUGCACUGAAUGUAUGUGGCCACAAAGAACCACUUUAUAGUUUAAUGUUCAAUGAGCUACUUGUUGGAGGGGAUGUUGCUGAAGCUAAAGACCUUCUUGAAACUGCCUUGGAUAAACUUUUUGAUAUAGGGAAAUUUCUCUACAAGGACCUCAUUGACAGACUCUGUAAAGAUGACAAGUUGGAAGGUGCCAGUGAUGUUCUACAUAAGUUAAUUGCUAGUGGAUAUCAGUUUGAUCCUGCAUCAUUCAUAACAGUGAUUGAUGGCUUCAAUAAAAUGGGAAAUAAGCGUGAGGCUGAUGAACUUGCAGAGAGGAUGACGGAAAUGGCUUCACAAAGUAGGACAGUGAAUAAGGCCUAUCAUAAUGCGAGGGAUUUCAUCCAUAAGAGCAAAAAUAAGGAUGGUGAAAGUGAUUGGCAGACCAUAGUAUACAGAGAUGAUUGCAGUGGAAUUGCACUGAAAGCUCUUAAGAAGGUAGAGAGAGGCUGGGGUCAGGGUAGUGUAUCAAAUUUGCGGCACCAGAAGGACGAGUUCUUUGAUUACUGGGACGGGAGUAAUUAAAUGUUGUGUUCCUUGAGAACAAAACUGAGAUUUGGUAGAGCUGAAGAAUUUCUUUUCUCCUGAUGAUUGUUAUUGAAUGCCACAACUGAGGGUCACUAUUAUUUUAAAUUGACAGCCAUUUGAGAUUCUUCAAUUUGAGAGUACAGAGAGGACUUGCCAGACUCAGCAAUUUUUGAAAGAACCUUUUUCUUUAUUCUAUACCAGUCAUCACAAACAUUAAUGUAGAGAGCAUAGCACGCAAUUCUGCAUUUCAUUUGUUGUUGGCGGCUUGAUGCUUCUGAUUCAUCAUUCAUUUGGAGGACGUAUCAGUAAACAUUCUUGUAGUUUCACUGGCAUUGGAAAUUCGCAGUUGCAUGACAUAGGUAUCAAGAUGGUUGUUAUUGUCUGCAUACCAAAUUCAGUGGUGUUUAUGGUCCCCACACAGGUUGAGUUCCAAGUUUUCACUUGCAAAUAAAUACUGUCAUUUUUUCUAUGAGGUGGCUUGCUAGACAAGAUGGUUCAUGACACAUAAGUUCAUCUGAAAAGGAUUAGAAUUUGCUAGGCAAGAUUAAAAAGAAUUGUGGUCUAUGUUCUUACUUUUUAUCCUUCUACUGCUAGUGCUAAUAAUUGAAUCCACCUGUUUUCAGCCCUCCCUUUGUUUUUGCAGGAUUGCUAGUUGCUACCUUCCCUGUGCUGGUUGACAAGGCUUGUACAGCUAUCAGUGAGUUGAGUUUCCCUUGCUAAACUUUUGAGCUCUUGUUGCUAAUUAGUGUAGUGAUGUAGAACCACAAUGAAAAUAGCACACACAAAGGAAGGGAAAUAUGCUAUGAAAAUUCUGUUAAUUCUCCGUGCUCAAAGUAUGCCAAAAACUGGAAUGUUAAGAAACCCUUUACAAGGGUUAUAAAGAAAUAAACCUAAUCCUAAUAAUAAAGUCAAAUACCAAAAAUACCCUAAAUAAUUAAAAUAUCCAAAUAAAUUAAUUACUAAAUUUCUUCCUAAAAUACAUG